UACGUAGGGGGCAAGCGUUGUCCGGAAUCAUUGGGCGUAAAGAGCGUGUAGGCGGCCCGGUAAGUCCGCUGUGAAAGUCCAGGGCUCAACCCUGGGAUGCCGGUGGAUACUGUCGGGCUCGAGUCCGGAAGAGGAGAAUGGAAUCCUGGUGUAGCGGUGAAAUGCGCAGAUAUCAGGAAGAACACCAGUGGCGAAGGCGGCUCACUGGCCCGGUACUGACGCUGAGGUGCGAAAGCGUGGGGAGCAAACAGG
rnacentral:rRNA from 1 species